rnacentral:rRNA from 1 species
GACAGAGGUCCCGAGCGUUAGGCGGAAUCACUGGGCUUAAAGCGUGUGUAGGCGGAUUUGUAAGUACCUUGUGAAAUCCCACAGCUUAACUGUGGAACUGCUUGGUAUAUUGCUUAUCUUGGGCCACUUAGGGGUUACCGGAACAAACGGUGGAGCGGUGAAAUGCGUAGAUAUCGUUUGGAACGCCAAUGGUGAAAACAGGUAACUGGGAGUGUGCCGACGCUGAGACACGAAAGCCAGGGGAGCGAACGGG